UACAGGGGGGGCAAGCGUUGCUCGGAAUCACUGGGCGUAAAGGGUGCGUAGGCGGGUCUUUAAGUCAGGGGUGAAAUCCUGGAGCUCAACUCCAGAACUGCCUUUGAUACUGAAGAUCUUGAGUUCGGGAGAGGUGAGUGGAACUGCGAGUGUAGAGGUGAAAUUCGUAGAUAUUCGCAAGAACACCAGUGGCGAAGGCGGCUCACUGGCCCGAUACUGACGCUGAGGCACGAAAGCGUGGGGAGCAAACAGG
rnacentral:rRNA from 1 species